CCUACGGGAGGCAGCAGUGAGGAAUAUUGGUCAAUGGGCGCGAGCCUGAACCAGCCAAGUAGCGUGAAUGAUGACUGCCCUACGGGUUGUAAACUUUUUUUAUAAAGGAAUCAAGUGAGGUACGUGUGCCUUUUUGUCUGUACUUUAUGAAUCAGGCUCGGCUAACUCCGUGCCAGCAGCCGGGGUAAUACGGAGGUUCCGAGCGUUAUCCGGAUUUAUUGGGUUUAAAGGGAGAGGAGACGGGUUGUUAAGUCAGUUGUGAAAGUUUGCGUCUCAACCGUAAAAUUGCAAUUGAGACUGGCAUACUUGAGUACAGUUGAGGUAUGCGGAAUUCGUGGUGUAGCGGUGAAAUGCUGAGAUAUCACGAAGAACUCAGAUGGCGAAGGCAGCUUACUAAACUGCCACUGACAUUGAUGCUCGAAAGUGUGGGUAUCAAACAGGAGUAGAUACCCUUGUAGUC
rnacentral:rRNA from 1 species